rnacentral:rRNA from 2 species
CCUACGGGGAAGCAGCAGUAGGGAAUCUUCCACAAUGGACGAAAGUCUGAUGGAGCAACGCCGCGUGAGUGAUGAAGGUUUUCGGAUCGUAAAACUCUGUUGUUAAAGAAGAACAAGUGUUAGAGUAACUGUUAACACUUUGACGGUAUUUAACCAGAAAGCCACGGCUAACUACGUGCCAGCAGCCGCGGUAAUACGUAGGUGGCAAGCGUUGUCCGGAUUUAUUGGGCGUAAAGCGAGCGCAGGCGGUUUUGUAAGUCUGCUGUGAAAGCCCUCAGCUCAACUGAGGAAGUGCAGUGGAAACUACAAAACUUGAGUACAGAAGAGGAAAGUGGAACUCCAUGUGUAGCGGUGAAAUGCGUAGAUAUAUGGAAGAACACCAGUGGCGAAGGCGGCUUUCUGGUCUGUUACUGACGCUGAGGCUCGAAAGCAUGGGUAGCGAACAGGAUUAGAUACCCUGGUAGUCCAUGCCGUAAACGAUGAAUACUAGGUGUUGGAGGGUUUCCGCCCUUCAGUGCCGCAGCUAACGCAUUAAGUAUCCGCCCUGGGAAUACG